rnacentral:rRNA from 1 species
UGGCGAGUCGAGCGAGAAAGCGACUUCGGUCGCAAGUAAAGCGGCGGACGGGUGAGUACAACAUGGGUAAUCUACCCGAAGUUCGGGACAACUCCGAGAAAUCGGGCUAAUACCGGAUAAGACCACGGUAUCCGCGGAUACAGAGGUAAAAGAUUCAUCGCCUUCGGAUGAGUCCACGCCCCAUCAGGUAGUUGGUAAGGUAAAGGCUUACCAAGCCUAAGACGGGUAGCCGGCCUUAGCAGGUGAACGGCCACAUGGGAACUGAGACACGGUCCUGAAGCCAGACGGGAGGCAGUAGUGGGGAAUAUUGGGCAAUGGGCGAAACUGAACCCAGCGAUGCCGCGUGAGGGAUGAAGGCCUUCGGGUUGUAAACCUCUGUCAGGAGGGACGAUGGGACUUCGGUCUUGACUGUACCUCCAGAGGAAGCCCCGGCUAACUCCGUGCCAGCAGCCGCGGUAAUACGGAGGGGGCAAGCGUUGCUCGGAAUUACUGGGCGUAAAGGGUCCGCAGCUGUCGGACAAGUUGGGUGUGAAAGCUCAGGGCUUAACCCUGGAAUUGCAUCCAAAACUGUCUGACUAGAGUCCGAGAGAGGUUGGCGGAAUUCCCGGUGUAGCGGUGAAAUGCAUAGAUAUCGGGAGGAACACCAGAGGCGAAGGCGGCCAACUGGUCGGCACUGACGCUCAGGGACGAAAGCGUGGGUAGCAAACCGGAUUAGAUACCCUGGUAGUCCACGCCGUAAACGGUGGGCACUAGGUGUGGGGCCUGAUCAAGGGGCUUCGCGCCGUAGCUUAACGCAUUAAGUGCCCCGCCUGGGGAGGUACGGCCGCAAGAGAAAACUCAAAGGAAUUGACGGGGGGCCGCACAAGGGGGGAGAUGUUUGCUUAAUUCGAGGCAACCGAAGAACCUUACCUGGGUUUGACAUGUAGGGAAAAACAUAGAGAUAUGGUGUGUUUCGACG